rnacentral:rRNA from 1 species
GACGGGGGAUGCAAGUGUUAUCCGGAAUCACUGGGCGUAAAGCGUCUGCAGGUGGUUUCCUAAGUCCACUGUUAAACCUUGAGGCUCAACCUCAAAUCUGCAUUGGAAACUAGGAGACUUGAGUAUAGUAGGGGUAGAGGGAAUUUCCAGUGGAGCGGUGAAAUGCGUAGAUAUUGGGAAGAACACCAGUGGCGAAGGCGGCUAUCUUGACGGUUUCUGACGCUAAGACGCGAAAGCGUGGGGAGCAAACAGG